rnacentral:rRNA from 1 species
GAACGACUCUCGGCAACGGAUAUCUCGGCUCACGCAUCGAUGAAGAACGUAGCAAAAUGCGAUACUUGGUGUGAAUUGCAGAAUCCCGUGAACCAUCGAGUUUUUGAACGCAAGUUGCGCCCGAAGCCAUCCGGCCGAGGGCACGCCUGCCUGGGCGUCACG